rnacentral:rRNA from 1 species
GACGAACGCUGGCGGUGUGCUUAACACAUGCAAGUCGAACGGAAAGGCCCUGCUUUUGUGGGGUGCUCGAGUGGCGAACGGGUGAGUAACACGUGAGUAACCUGCCCUUGACUUUGGGAUAACUUCAGGAAACUGGGGCUAAUACCGGAUAGGAGCUCCUGCUGCAUGGUGGGGGUUGGAAAGUUUCGGCGGUUGGGGAUGGACUCGCGGCUUAUCAGCUUGUUGGUGGGGUAGUGGCUUACCAAGGCUUUGACGGGUAGCCGGCCUGAGAGGGUGACCGGCCACAUUGGGACUGAGAUACGGCCCAGACUCCUACGGGAGGCAGCAGUGGGGAAUAUUGCAUAAUGGGCGGAAGCCUGAUGCAGCAACGCCGCGUGCGGGAUGACGGCCUUCGGGUUGUAAACCGCUUUCGCCUGUGACGAAGCGUGAGUGACGGUAAUGGGUAAAGAAGCACCGGCUAACUACGUG